rnacentral:rRNA from 1 species
ACGAACCGUCCUAACGUUAUUCGGAUUCACUGGGCUUAAAGGGCGCGUAGGCGGACGAGCAAGUCCGGGGUGAAAUCUUUCGGCUUAACCGGAAGAGUGCCUUGGAUACUGCUCGUCUUGAGGGAGGUAGGGGCAUGUGGAACUUCCGGUGGAGCGGUGAAAUGCGUUGAUAUCGGAAGGAACGCCGGUAGCGAAAGCGACGUGCUGGCCCUCUUCUGACGCUGAGGCGCGAAAGCUAGGGGAGCAAACGGGA